rnacentral:lncRNA from 1 species
GAUUGGGGGGGCACUAAGGAAGAUGACACAUCAAGACCUCCAUAACGUCUCUGACGAACCAGACUUGCGACAGCUCUUGCCACGUCUGGCUGCGCCAUGUUUGUACUCAAAACAACAAGCAUAAUAAAAGCCUGAACAAAGAGGGUUAUGGCCACUGAAUGUUGGUGUCCCUCCCUGUCCAUCCUCCCUAACAGGAACUACAGGAUGCAGAGUUCAUCCUGAUUCCAGAGGCUGAAUACCUGGCCCACUGGCUCCUUCUUUCUCAGAGCGUCACACUGCUCUAUGAUGACCUGCAGGAGGUGAAGGCUGCUGCCGCCACUGAGAAAAGCCUCUCGGUUAUGACAAACGCACCUGACUACAUCCCCAGUGCUAAUAUCGCAACCUAACCAAGUGUUAUUUCUUUAGACCGCUCGUAUGGGCUGUCAAGGGGUCAACGGGUUGGAGGAGGCAGGAGCCUAAGUAAUGAGGUAGCAGAGUUUCGAGAGACAGUCAAUCACGAAGAGGCACCAAUCCAGUUGUUACAGAAGCAGGUAAGCAUUACUCACUAUAGACUAGUGGUACCCGGGUCAGUUGUUACAGAAGAAGGUAAGCAUUACUCACUAUAGGCUAGUGGUACCUGGGUCAGUUGUUUGUUCACCUGCCCCUGCUCACAAUUGCAAAUCAUUUUUUGUAUAUGAUUAAGUGAAAAUCUGAGGCCCCACACUUGACCCUAACCCACAAAUAUAAAAAAUGCGCCAUAGGCUACAGUCAGAAGGUAGAACGUUUUUUGACAGGGGGUGGAGGAUUGUUUUUUGCGUAAUUUAUGUUUCUUAUAAUUUCUGACAUUUUAGUAGGCUAUUUGUUAGUCAACUUGUUUAUAAUUAGAUGCGUGCAGCUUCUCUUCUGUCAUAAUAUGUUGCCCUAGAAGACUAAAUAAACACUUGCUCACUAGAAUAAUGUCAUAAAUGGUAGAAGGAAGGCUUCAAUCUAGUUGACAUUGGUAAAGUUGUCUCUGUCAUCUCUGCUUCUUUUGCAGAG